UCCCCAAUGGCUCAGUGGUAAAGAAUCUGCCUGCAAUGCAGGAGAUCCAGGUUCGAUCCCUGGGUGAGGAA
rnacentral:tRNA from 1 species